rnacentral:rRNA from 1 species
UACAGAGACUGCAAGCGUUAUUCGGAUUCACUGGGCGUAAAGGGUGCGCAGGCGGUCGUGUGUGUCAGAUGUGAAAUCCCGAGGCUCAACCUAGGAACUGCGUCUGAAACUACUCGACUAGAGUACUGGAGAGGGUAACGGAAUUCACGGUGUAGCAGUGAAAUGCGUAGAUAUCGUGAGGAACACCAGAGGCGAAGGCGGUUACCUGGACAGUUACUGACGCUGAGGCACGAAAGCAUGGGGAGCAAAAGGG